rnacentral:tRNA from 1 species
GGGGAUGUAGCUAAGUGGUAGAGCGUUUGCUUUGCAUGUGAAAGGCACGGGGUUCGAUACCCCGCAUCUCCA